UACAGAGGGUGCAAGCGUUAAUCGGAAUUACUGGGCGUAAAGCGUGCGUAGACGGUUACAUAAGUCGGGUGUGAAAGCCCCGGGCUCAACCUGGGAAUUGCAUUCGAGACUGCGUAGCUAGGGUGCGGAAGAGGGAAGCGGAAUUUCCGGUGUAGCGGUGAAAUGCGUAGAUAGUCGGAAGGAACACCAGUGGCGAAAGCGGCUUCCUGGUCCAGCACCGACGUCAGGCACGAAAGCGUGGGGAGCAAACAGG
rnacentral:rRNA from 1 species